rnacentral:rRNA from 1 species
GACGAACGCUGGCGGCGUGCUUAACACAUGCAAGUCGAACGGAAAGGCCCUGCUUUUGUGGGGUGCUCGAGUGGCGAACGGGUGAGUAACACGUGAGUAUCCUGCCCUCGACUUUGGGAUAACUUCAGGAAACUGGGGCUAAUACCGGAUAGGAGCUCCUGCUGCAUGGUGGGGGUUGGAAAGUUUCGGCGGUUGGGGAUGGACUCGCCGCUUAUCCGCUUGUUGGUGGGGUAGUGGCUUACCCCGGCUUUGACGGGUAGCCUGCCUGAGCGGGUGACCGGCCACGUUGGGACUGGGAUGCGGCACAGACUCCAACGGUAGGCGACGGUGGGGAGGAGUGCACGAUGGGCGGAAGCCUGAUGUGGCGCCGCCGCGUGCGGGGUGGCGGCCUUCGGGUUGGAAACCGAUUUCGCCUGUGACGAAGCGAGAGUGACGGUAAUGGGUAAGGAAGCACCGGCUAACUACGUG